GCUAAGCAUGGUGAUGUGUGCCUGUAGUCCCAGCUACUGGGGAGGCUGAGGUGGGAGGACCACUUGAGUCCAGUUGUUCUGGCCUGCAGUGCACUAUGCCAGUCAGGUAUCCUGCACUAAGUUUGGUAUCAAUAUGGUGACCUCCUGGGAGUGAGGGACCACCAGGUUGCCUAAGGAGGGGUGAAAUGGCCCAAGUUGGAAAUGGAGUAGGUCAAAAUUCCUGUGCUUAUCCAAAUUGUUUUGGAUGUUUGAAGUCCUUAGGAGUCCAUAUGACUUUUAGAAUCAAUUUUUC
ensembl:misc_RNA Metazoa_SRP Metazoan signal recognition particle RNA